rnacentral:rRNA from 1 species
UCGGAUCAGGUAGGAAUACGCGCUGAACUUAAGCAUAUCAAUAGCCCGGGAGGA